GGGGGCGAUUCGGCUUCGACGGGGAAUGGGAUAGCUUAUGCUGCAUGUCGAGCUUAGAUAACUCGUAAAACUGACUAAGCACUAUAAGUGCCGAACCAAUUAACGCACUCGCAGCUUAAAUAAACUGUGACGUCUCAUUAGAUCAUGCCCGUGGGAUUUUCUGAGGCGACGACUAAACGGGCUGGUUGGUAUGUAUUGCUUGGGUUGCCUGCCAAUGAGAAACUUACUCGAGCUUGUAGUGAAAAACCUGCCUGCCGGUGAUUUUACUGCAAAAUAAAAAGACAGGAUAAACAUGUAGAUGCUGAGUGAGGCUCUUUUCCGGACCUGGGUUCGAUUCCCAGCGCCUCCACCA
rnacentral:tmRNA from 1 species